rnacentral:rRNA from 1 species
AUACGUAGGGGGCGAGCGUUGUCCGGAAUGAUUGGGCGUAAAGGGCGCGUAGGCGGCCUGUUAAGUCUGGAGUGAAAGUCCUGUUUUCAAGAUGGGAAUUGCUUUGGAUACUGAUGGGCUUGAGUGCAGGAGAGGUUAUCGGAAUUCCCGGUGUAGCGGUGAAAUGCGUAGAGAUCGGGAGGAACACCAGUGGCGAAGGCGGGUAACUGGACUGCAACUGACGCUGAGGCGCGAAAGUGUGGGGAGCAAACAGGAUUAGAUACCCUGGUAGUCCACACUGUAAACGAUGAAUGCUAGGUGUAAGAGGUAUCGACCCCUGUUGUGCCGGAGUUAACACAAUAAGCAUUCCGCCUGGGGAGUACGGCCGCAAGGUUGAAACUCAAAGGAAUUGACGGGG